AACGCAAUUUCUGUGAGAGUCUAUUUAACGCACUGACGAACUUGUAACCUAACUUUUGGGAUUAGUAAAAUGUUACUUGCAAACGCACUCGAAACACUGAAAAAAUACAACUUUUAAGACUUUCCUCUAAACUUCAUUAAAUUUCGUUGUUGUCUACUAGCAACGCGCUCUUUCAGCUCGAGAAUGAACCGUUUCACCCUGCCGCCACGGCGUCUCAGGUCAAAUCGCUGUUUCGCUUCAAGACGAAGAUAAAAACGACGGUGUGAAGAGGUCACGCUCGAGAUGAAUUCACCUCAUCUUCCUCACUGAAAGCGCCGUUUGAUUGUAGACGAUGUCAGAGCCGUGUGUGAGGGGAAAUGAAGAUUUGUGAGUGCAUCUGCUGUCCCAGUCCAGAUGAACGGAGCCGAGUUUGAGUCCCAGAAAACUGAAUAUAUGACGGGUUUCGUCCACUGAAGUCAGAGUCUAUUAAAACGGACAGCGAGGAAGAUUCAGUAGGCUAGACGAGAAUUCAAGAUAAGAUCUAAAGGAGAGCGCACAGUGAGGAGCAUGAGGCAUUGACUUUAAAUUAGAGUAAAUUAAAUCGACGAAAUAAGGUUCAUGGGUUAUGAACGCGCGUAUACGAGAGGAAGAUUCAAGACCAGCAUUCUUAUUUGCAUGUUUUCUUGCUUACACAAGAGUAGGCUAAUUUACAAACAUUUUAAUUUCAUUUCCUAUUCUGAUCUCUUGUGUGGGGAAAAUAAGGAACGCAACAUCAAAAUGUUGUCAAACUAAUAUAGAUGCCCAAUCAUUAGGCUAUCACUUACAGCUUGCCUAUUAAAUAAAAAAGUUGAAACUGACACUGAGGAUCAGGUUAUCCUGUUUCUAAAGUGAAUACGAUAUUUGGAUGGUCAGCAUCAUCAACAGCAAAUAUUUCUACAUUAAACAAAACCACCUAUUUAAAUCCCUUUAUCCUAAUUAAACUGCUCGUAAAGCGCAACUUCUUUGCGAUUCAUUAGCAAUUUCAUCCCGAUAACAUGAAUGGUCUGAUUUCUCAACGCUUUGCUCUAGCACACCGCACGGAACACAUUAGUAUUCGUGGCCACAUCUCGCUCGUAAAAGCAUCUCAGGGCUGAAAUUAAUUCAUGAAGCACGUUUGUCCACUCACCUACAAUCCAGAAGAGAGCUGAGGAUGGUAUCUAAUGUUCAGUUUAAAGAUGCCUCUGCGUUCAGCUCAGUUUUGACAGAUAGAUCCACAUCCGACUGAACGCCGAAGCCUCAAAGGUAGCACCUUCAAAAAGAAAAAAAAACAA